rfam:Heterocephalus glaber contig177681, whole genome shotgun sequence.
GGAUCCGAGGGUGAUCUGGCUGCGAUAUCCAUCACCCCACUGAUCGCCAGAGUUGAUUCAGCUGAUCUGGCCGCCUGGGGGGUCCCCUCCCUCCCUCCCUCACUGCUCCAUGUGCAUCCCUCCCAGAGCUGCACACUGGGUCAAAGAGGACAACCACCCCUGACAGAGGAGGACCAUUUUCUCACUUAAAGGUGUAUAAGAAACUGCACUCCCUUGCUAGAACCUCAAAACAAGCUCUCAAAAUAACCCUUUCCUCCUUUAAGCUCAGGUAUUGUGUUUCAACAAUGAGAAAACGACUAUGUCACCCAU